UUGUUGGUAAGGUAAAAGCUUACCAAGGCUUCGAUCAGUAGCUGGUCUGAGAGGACGACCAGCCACACUGGGACUGAGACACGGCCCAGACUCCUACGGGAGGCAGCAGUGGGGAAUUUUGGACAAUGGGGGCAACCCUGAUCCAGCCAUGCCGCGUGAGUGAAGAAGGCCUUCGGGUUGUAAAGCUCUUUCAGCCGGAACGAAACGGUUACGGAUAACACCCGUGACUACUGACGGUACCGGAAGAAGAAGCACCGGCUAACUACGUGCCAGCAGCCGCGGUAAUACGUAGGGUGCGAGCGUUAAUCGGAAUUACUGGGCGUAAAGCGUGCGCAGGUGGUUUUGUAAGUCAGAUGUGAAAGCCCCGGGCUCAACCUGGGAACUGCGUUUGAAACUACAAGACUAGAGUGUGGCAGAGGGGGGUGGAAUUCCGCGUGUAGCAGUGAAAUGCGUAGAGAUGUGGAGGAACACCGAUGGCGAAGGCAGCCCCCUGGGUCAACACUGACGCUCAGGCACGAAAGCAUGGGGAGCAAACAGGAUUAGAUACCCUGGUAGUCCAUGCCCUAAACGAUGUCAACUACUUGUCGGGCCUUUACGGGCUUGGUAACGUAGCUAACGCGUGAAGUUGACCGCCUGGGGAGUACGAUCGCAAGAUUAAAACUCAAAUGAAUUGACGGGGACCCGCACAAGCGGUGGAUUAUGUGGAUUAAUUCGAUGCAACGCGAAAAACCUUACCUACCCUUGACAUGUAUCGAAGCCCGCAGAAAAGCGGGGGUGCCCGAAAGGGAACGAUAACACAGGUGCUGCAUGGCUGUCGUCAGCUCGUGUCGUGAGAUGUUGGGUUAAGUCCCGCAACGAGCGCAACCCUUGUCAUUAAUUGCCAUCAUUUAGUUGGGCACUUUAAUGAGACUGCCGG
rnacentral:rRNA from 1 species